UACGUAGGGACCAAGCGUUGUUCGGAUUUACUGGGCGUAAAGGGCGCGUAGGCGGCUUAACAAGUCACUUGUGAAGUCUCCGGGCUUAACUCGGAACGGCCAAGUGAAACUGUCAAGCUAGAGUGCGGAAGGGGCAAUCGGAAUUCUUGGUGUAGCGGUGAAAUGCGUAGAUAUCAAGAGGAACACCUGAGGUGAAGACGGGUUGCUGGGCCGACACUGACGCUGAUGCGCGAAAGCCAGGGGAGCAAACGGG
rnacentral:rRNA from 1 species